GCGGAUGUGGUGGAAUUGGUAGACACGCCACCUUGAGGGGGUGGUGCUUUCGGGCAUGGGGGUUCAAGUCCCCCCAUCCGCACCA
rnacentral:tRNA from 2 species